rnacentral:rRNA from 1 species
GACGAACGCUGGCGGCGUGCUUAACACAUGCAAGUCGAACGGAAAGGCCCUGCUUUUGUGGGGUGCUCGAGUGGCGAACGGGUGAGUAACACGUGAGUAACCUGCCCUUGACUUUGGGAUAACUUCAGGAAACUGGGGCUAAUACCGGAUAGGAGCUCCUGCUGCAUGGUGGGGGUUGGAAAGUUUCGGCGGUUGGGGAUGGACUCGCGGCUUAUCAGCUUGUUGGUGGGGUAGUGGCUUACCAAGGCUUUGACGGGUAGCCGGCCUGAGAGGGUGACCGGCCACAUUGGGACUGAGAUACGGCCCAGACUCCUAUGGGAGGCAGCAGUGGGGAAUAUUGCACAAUGGGCGGAAGCCUGAUGCAGCAACGCCGCGUGCGGGAUGACGGCCUUCGGGUUGUAAACCGCUUUCGCCUGUGACGAAGCGUGAGUGACGGUAAUGGGUAAAGAAGCACCGGCUAACCACGUG